CCUACGGGUGGCAGCAGUGGGGAAUAUUGCACAAUGGGGGAAACCCUGAUGCAGCGACGUCGCGUGAGCGAUGAAGUAUUUCGGUAUGUAAAGCCUUAUCUGCAGGGAAGAAAAUGACGGUACCUGACUAAGAAGCCCCGGCUAACUACGUGCCAGCAGCCGCGGUAAUACGUAGGGGGCACGCGUUAUCCGGAUUUACUCGGUGUUAAGGGAGCGUAGACGGCUUGGCAAGCCAGAUGGGAAAGGCUGGGGGUCAACCCCAGGACUGCAUUUGAAACUGUCAUGCUAGAGUGUCGGAGAGGUAGGCGGAAUGCGUGGUGUAGCGGUGAAAUGCGUAGAUAUUAGGAGGAACCCCAGUGGCGAAGGCAGCAUGCUGGACGAUGACUGACGUUGAGGCUCGAAAGCGUGGGGAGCGAACAGGAUUAGAUACCCUAGUAGUC
rnacentral:rRNA from 1 species